rnacentral:rRNA from 1 species
UGCUGCAGCUAACGCAUUAAGCACUCCGCCUGGGGAGUACGGUCGCAAGACUGAAACUCAAAGGAAUUGACGGGGGCCCGCACAAGCGGUGGAGCAUGUGGUUUAAUUCGAAGCAACGCGAAGAACCUUACCAGGUCUUGACAUCCUCUGACAACCCUAGAGAUAGGGCGUUCCCCUUCGGGGGACAGAGUGACAGGUGGUGCAUGGUUGUCGUCAGCUCGUGUCGUGAGAUGUUGGGUUAAGUCCCGCAACGAGCGCAACCCUUGAUCUUAGUUGCCAGCAUUCAGUUGGGCACUCUAAGGUGACUGCCGGUGACAAACCGGAGGAAGGUGGGGAUGACGUCAAAUCAUCAUGCCCCUUAUGACCUGGGCUACACACGUGCUACAAUGGAUGGUACAAAGGGCAGCGAAACCGCGAGGUUCAGCGAAUCCCAUAAAACCAUUCUCAGUUCGGAUUGCAGGCUGCAACUCGCCUGCAUGAAGCCGGAAUCGCUAGUAAUCGCGGAUCAGCAUGCCGNNNNNNNNACGUUCCCGGGCCUUGUACACACCGCCCGUCACACCACGAGAGUUUGCAACACCCGAAGUCGGUGAGGUAAC